rnacentral:rRNA from 1 species
AGUGAACGCUGGCGGCGUGCUUAACACAUGCAAGUCGAACGAGAACGGGCUAUAGCUUGCUAUAGUUGUCAGCUAAGUGGCGCACGGGUGAGUAAUGUAUAGGUAAUAUGCCUCUUACUAAGGGAUAACAAAUGGAAACGUUUGCUAAUACCUUAUACUCCUUAUUAACAGAAGUUAAUAAGGGAAAGAUUUAUUGGUAAGAGAUUAGCCUGUAUUGUAUCAGUUAGUUGGUGGGGUAAUGGCUUACCAAGACUAUGACACAUAACUGGUUUGAGAGGAUGAUCAGUCACACUGGAACUGAGACACGGUCCAGACUCCUACGGGAGGCAGCAGUGGGGAAUAUUGCACAAUGGACGAACGUCUGAUGCAGCAACGCCGCGUGGAGGAUGACACAUUUCGGUGCGUAAACUCCUUUUAUAUGAGAAGAUAAUGACGGUACUAUAUGAAUAAGCACCGGCUAACUCCGUGCCAGCAGCCGCAGUAA